CGCAACGUCGUGUCCCUGGCCAAAAAUAGUUGCGGUAUGACGGCACAAAUCGGUGAAAAUAUGUAACACAGAACAUUUCAUAAAAAUGCAUUCAGAUACAUUUGUACAUGUCUAUAGUUCUAUGGGGUUGCAUGUAUAAUUGUUACUUUGACUUUUACUACGCGUGCUUCAAUAUUUAUACCCUGUUGUGAAUCGGUUGUAAGAGGACGUCACUAGGUGACGUCUUUUACACGUGCAUUUAUAGUCCAUCAUGACCCUCUAUAAAAAAUCAUAAACCUUCUAUAAAGUCAUUGUGAAAUAUGCAAAUGCUGUGCUUACACCUUGGUUAAUACUGCAAUAAUUAAUUUAAGUGCAAAAAGUAGGUUUUUAAGAGGUUGUGAAUAGACGUCCACUGACGUCUUUUACACGUCUAGACUAGACUAGUAGGAAAAAAACAGGAUAAUCUUUAUGAAAUACACGAUUUGUAUACAAAGUAAAUAUAUUAACUUUAUCUUGUUUAAAUAAAUUAUAAUCACAAAGUGCCCAGUGUGAUUGCAAAGCCACACUGCAUUUUAGUCAUUAUUCCAACCGGUUUUAUUAUUGAAUGUAUGCAUAUAAAUGUAAAACAGAUACAUAUCCGGUCACCAUUUAGGUCUGAGUUGGAUGUAAUUUCAAAAACUGUGCUAUUAAUUUAAGAAAUAUAGUGAUAAAUCUGGGGAUAUUACAAAAUCCCGCGAUAGGACAGAUUAUCUCGCGAGAUAGUGGUGACGUCACGCGUUCUUCCGGAAGUUCACAUUCAAACAGGAGGAGCGGUUACGAGGGAGUUUUGUCUACAUAUCAUUCAAAAUCUACUGUUGGGAAAAGCAGAACCUCAUCCAAAUAAAAAUAAACAAGCUGUUAAAGGCACUGUGUCCUACACAGACCCUCCAAAAUAUAACCACCCAAAACCCAAGUCAGUUGAAGGUCAACACAAACCAAAUAAAGAUGUGCAUUCUACAAACAAUAACAAAAGAUCAAGUUUUGUGUCCACCACACUUAGAUGAGGCGUGCCCGACCCCUGACUUUGUCUACCCUACAUUAAGUUGCACACUUCAUGACAGUAAACAUCGGUAUCACAAUGGUGUGAUUGAUCUAUACCCUAGAAUAAGCUGUGACACUAUGAGACGUGAGGUAACACAACGAAAAAAUUACCGGAUGGAGACUACCUGAUUCUUCACCUAUGGCCUCAGCUUCAAAUGCAACAUGUCCAGCAACUGUCUGAGUUGGUGGAUAUUCUGUCAGAGACUGCGUGAACAACGUUAUGAACAGAAUGAUGUCAAAUUGUCUUAUGGCAAAGUUCAAUAUGAGGGGUGGUGGACAUCUGGAAAAGAAGUCUUUUAAAGGCACACCUUUGUAUUAUGUUAUUCAAGAUGCUGUGAAGAGGUGGAGCCCAAAUGCCACAGACUCGAAAAUAGAUGCAGCUAUGGCAGACCACCUCAAGCACGCUCCAGGAAGAGCUGGGGGUGAUGGAUACAAAAAAGCCAAACAGCUGUGAUGUGUUAAAGAGAGAGUUCACCAAAAAAGGAAAAUUGUUAUAAUUUUCUUAUCCACAUGUUUCAAACCUGUAUACCUUUAUAUUUUCUGCUGAACACAAAGAUUGAAGAAUGUUUGUAACUUCACAACCAAUUAACUGUCAAUAAUUUUUUUACAAUUGUAGUAAUGGGUUGUGAGAUCUGCUUUGUUAAAAACAUUCUUUCACAUAUCUUUGUGUUCAGCAGAACAUAGAAGGGUAUACAGGUUUGAAACAUGAGAGGGAAUAAAUGACUAAAUAUUAAUUUUUGGGUGAACUAUCCCUUUAUAGAAAGUGUUUUGAAGUUGUUAUUAUAGUUAAAUGGUUAAAAAAAAAUAAAAAGUGCUAAAUCAGAACAUGCUUCUUUUUUUGUUAUGGCCACAAAUAAUGU